rnacentral:rRNA from 1 species
AGAGUUUGAUCCUGGCUCAGGAUGAACGCUGGCGGCGUGCUUAACACAUGCAAGUCGAACGAAACACCUUAUUUGAUUUUCUUCGGAACUGAAGAUUUGGUGAUUGAGUGGCGGACGGGUGAGUAACGCGUGGGUAACCUACCCUGUACAGGGGGAUAACAGUCAGAAAUGACUGCUAAUACCGCAUAAGACCACAGCACCGCAUGGUGCAGGGGUAAAAACUCCGGUGGUACAGGAUGGACCCGCGUCUGAUUAGCUGGUUGGUGAGGUAACGGCUCACCAAGGCGACGAUCAGUAGCCGGCUUGAGAGAGUGAACGGCCACAUUGGGACUGAGACACGGCCCAAACUCCUACGGGAGGCAGCAGUGGGGAAUAUUGCACAAUGGGGGAAACCCUGAUGCAGCGACGCCGCGUGAGUGAAGAAGUAUCUCGGUAUGUAAAGCUCUAUCAGCAGGGAAGAAAAUGACGGUACCUGACUAAGAAGCCCCGGCUAACUACGUGCCAGCAGCCGCGGUAAUACGUAGGGGGCAAGCGUUAUCCGGAAUUACUGGGUGUAAAGGGUGCGUAGGUGGUAUGGCAAGUCAGAAGUGAAAACCCAGGGCUUAACUCUGGGACUGCUUUUGAAACUGUAAGACUAGAGUGCAGGAGAGGUAAGCGGAAUUCCUAGUGUAGCGGUGAAAUGCGUAGAUAUUAGGAGGAACAUCAGUGGCGAAGGCGGCUUACUGGACUGAAACUGACACUGAGGCACGAAAGCGUGGGGAGCAAACAGGAUUAGAUACCCUGGUAGUCCACGCCGUAAACG